rnacentral:misc_RNA from 1 species
GAAGCACCUUGAGUUGUUGAGCGACAUUACUGGAAUCUGAGAAAAAAGUACGGAAAUAUUCUAUCCAUUGAUCUUGUCAAUAAGCAUGGAGGAGGAGGACGAGGAGGAGGACGCCUAAGUGAAAAGUUUGCAAAUGCAAUGCAACAUGUAAUUGCUGCUAAUGUGAAGUAGGUUUCCAGUUAUCUUCUUGUGGUAAAUCAUAUGGAUCUUUUUAAGUACCACACUUCAUUCUAAUAUCUUAGGAUUUCUGCAGAUACUUGCACUUCAAUAUUAAGCACAUAUGCGGCCAUGUUCUUUUUGAACUCCUUUCUAUCUUCUAUGAUCAAAUUGAAGAUCUUUUCAUUAAAAAAUAGGUAUAUCUCAUCCAAGUGUAGAUAUAUUUA